rnacentral:lncRNA from 1 species
UUGCAGGAAAUCCUUGAUCUAAGGACAUAAGUGUUACACAAAAAUUGGGACCUAAAACGUCAUUACAAAUUAAGAAAUGAUUCAGUGUACAUAAAGAAGAUGAUGUACAACAACUUUUUGUAAUACUUCUUCAGUAGGAAAGGAAUGACCAAAGUUGUGAGGCUUCAAAAAUUAAGCUCAUGAUUACUUCAUCUGUUAUGCAAAUUACCUUAUGAGUAUGAAGCUAAUUUUGAUUCUACCCUGUGGUAUCAUUUUUCAUGGACUAUGGACGUUACCUGUUGUUGACAACUUCAUCUUGCAACAUUAUGCAAUUUAUUUCCAACAAUUCUCGACAUAGCAAUACUUAAAGGAGACGUGGAGCUACCAAUGUGGUGUCUGUCGCUGAACCCUAAUGUGUUGGGUGACUCUACUACAGAGGUAUGUCGUAACAUAUAAAACAUAAUUAGACAUUGAUAAUUUACUCUAAAUUAAUUGCAAAGGUAAACAAAUUAUCAAUUUACUGCUGAUUUCAAAAGACAACACUUUUUGAACUUUGUAUUUCCUAAAGGGAUGGUUUAUACCUUUCUUAUAUGUAUUUUUAUAUAAAUUAGUACAAGAGGUGGAUAUAUUGAAAAGAAUUCUAGUAAUAUGUGUUAUACACUUUUAUAGAUUAUAGAAUCCUUGCUUUUUAAUUACUUAAUUCAUAUCUUUUAUCAUUUUUACAAUUAAAGUAAAUUUCUUUGGGUUAUUGCCUCUAUAGUAAAUAAAUUAUUCCUUUGAUUUUCAAUUUCAUUUAUUUUAAAUUCAUUGAGAGUAUCAGUAUCUAUUUUCUCGAGUACAGUUAAUAAAUACUUGCUUAUUGUUAAUUUAAAACUACACCCUAAUUAAAAAAAAGAUACUUUUAUUCUUUCUUAUUUUUUAUGACUUCUUAUUUUACAUAUCAAAUUUUAUAGUAAGUAGUUAAUUGGCUAUUUUUUUUACGAAAUUAAUACUUCCAAAAAACUUUGUUAACUGUUUUGUUAUUUUGUCAUUUUUUAAAUAAUUUAACAAAUGAAAAUAAAAUAUUCGAUAAAUCCACUUGUAAUUAAUAUUUAAGAAAGUAUUUAUUUAUUUAUUGUAAUAAUUACGAUAAGGUAUCAUUAAAAAAAGGAUCGAACGGGAUUGUAUGAAAGUCUGAAUGGGGUGUUUCGUGUAUGAGAGAGUCAAGGUGAACGAGGGUGUGAGAAUGGAGUAAUGAAUAGGGAUGCCUUACGAAUGGAGGAACGAAGGGUGGUGUGAGUUAAUGAAUGGGCAAAAGAUUGCAAGUACGAAAGAGGGUGUGAGAAAGUAAAUCCUACAACUCCACUCAUAUAUCCACUUGCGGAGUACCCUCAUUUGUAGAUGGUAGUACUCUCCAAGUGGAGGCAUGAGUGGAGUUAUGAGAGAGGUACAAAUGGGGAUGUGUGUGUGGGAGAGAGGGAGAGAAUGGAGGUACAAAUGGGGACGUAAGAAAGUAUUUUCAUAAGUCACUUUCAUACCUCCACUCGCAAAAUACCCUCAUUCGUACAUGAGGGUACACUGCGAGUAAAGGAAUGAAUGGUUGUGUGAGUAAGAAGUUUGAAUGGGGUUGAACGAACUAAUGAAGGUACUCCAUUCAUAUCGUCACUCGCAUAAUUCCCUCGUUUUAACAGGGGACGCUACGAGUGGCGAUAUGAAUGGAGUUGUGACAUGUACUAUCUCACACCCCCAUUCGUACCUCCAUUCGCAGUGUACCCUCAUGUACGAAUUAACGUACAGGAAUUUGCUUUUUACUCGACAAACUGUUAAUUAGUUUUCUGGUCUUGUAAUUAUGUUCAGAGUUCACAAAGUCACAAUUAGUAUAACGUCUAUUAACAACCGUUGACAAAGUGUAUACGGUUAAUUUAUAUUAUUUGUAAUUAACAAGGAAAAUUGUAAAAAUAUUGCCUAAAAUACUAGUUAGAGUUUUAUAAAACAAUAUCAGGAUCAAUUUGUACUAUUUUGUUGUAAUUUUAUAAUGAAAAAUUAGUGUUAAUCUAUAUUGCCAUAAAUGCUCUAAAUUUUUAUUAUUUAAUAAAGAUUGUAAUAAUUAGGCCUGUGGUUUGAUAUUAUGUAUUUGAAAUGUGCCUUAUAUCUAACUGUGUAGAUCUUAUUAAAUGUUAUGUUAAUUA